UUAGAGAGGGCGUUACAAUU
rnacentral:miRNA from 1 species